rnacentral:tRNA from 1 species
GCCUUUGUGGUGUAACGGUAGCACGCUGGACCGGUAUUCCAGAGGUCCGUGGUUCGAUUCCCGGCGAAGGCG